GGGCCGGUAGUUCAGUUGGUACGAACGCCCGCCUCGCACGCGGGAGAGAGCGAAGAGCUCCCCAAAGUCGGGGGUUCAAGUCCCCCCCGGUCCA
rnacentral:tRNA from 1 species